AGAAGAACAUUUAGUUUAAAGAGAGGGGCUUUGACCUGGUCUUGGGGUUUUCCCACUCUUUGGCACACCUCACAAGACCAGACAUAGGUAGAAACAUCCUUGCCCAUUCACUCCCAGUGGAAGGACCUCCCCAACCUUUGGUCCUGUUCACCCCAGCAUGGCCACUAGGAUGAUCGUGGGCUAAGCUCAAGAGCUUUACCUGGUACUUAGUUGGAACUACUAACUGUCUCUGAGGAUGCCAGUCUUCCUGGUGCCCACCAGAAAGAGCUUCCUUGUAGAAACUUUUAAGAGGACUUUUAUACAACAAACCGGGAUCGAUUAGAAGAGCUGAGAGGUGGUAGGUUGCUCCAUGCUGCUGUCCAAACUCCCUGGAGGCUUUCAUCUGCUUCCUGUUCAGCCUGGAACUGUUCCCUUGAUGCUGAAGACAUUAGUUCCUUACUGGAUUGUGGAUUUGGGCUUGAUCCAUCUGGAAGCGAUGCAGGUGAUGGGGCUGUUUCCGUUGACUGUGAACCGCUCUCCGCUGGUGCACUAUGUUGUGUUUCAGGCUCUGGCUGAGCCUUUUUCAUAGGUUUAACUGCUGCUGCCAGUGCAGGCUCAGUGGUGCCUUCUGGUGUUGGAGCUGUAGAUAGGGUUGCAAGCGCUGAACUCAGUGCUGGUUGCUUUGCCAGUUCCAGUUCUGGGACUGGAUCUGGCUGCAUAUCUGGGACUGGAUCCACUACGGCUGUUGCAGUCGUUGGCAGGGGAUCCGGUUCUAUCACCUCAGUCUGGGUCUCUGGUAACACAGACUGGGCCCUUGUUGAAGGCUCAGGAACAGAGCUAGGUGUGACAGCUCGCUUAGCCUGGCUGCGGGUGACCAUUCCCACCCUCUUA